CAGGGGACUGGAGGGACGCACUGAGCAUGUGCAGAUCUGCUCGGUGGUGGCUGCCGCGGCCGGAGGCGAGGGCCCGGUGCUGAUGCGAACCGCCAGCUCGGCCUCAGCCAGCGCGUGGUCGGCCCCCGAGGCCGGGGCGACAGGGAAAGAGCCGUAGCCUCCGCGUGGCCCGAGGAGCCGGCGCGGCGGCGCGCACUCCCCGGCGGCCGCGGCGCCCUCGGGGCCCACGAUGAUGGCGGAGCAGGUGAAAUGCGCCUCGGCGGGGGUCAGCUCUGGAGCGGGCUCCGGGCCGGUGGUGAACGCGGAGCUGGAGGUGAAGAAGCUGCAGGAGCUGGUGCGCAAGCUGGAGAAGCAGAACGAGCAGCUGCGGAGUCGAGCGGCCAGCGCGGCCGCCGCCCCGCACCUGCUGCUGCUGCCGCCGCCGCCGCCCGCCGCGCCGCCCCCCGCUGGGGCCUGCAGCCCGUUGGGUCCUCGGAGCCCCCCGGCCGCCACGGCCACCGCCGCGGCCUCAGGGGGCCUGGGGCUCGGGCUGGCGCUGGGCGCGGGGGGCGGUGGAGGCAGCGGUAGUGGCAGCGGCGGUGGCUCCAGCCCCGCGUUCCCGGGCACCUUCUGCCUGCCUAGCUCCGCGCCCUCCCUGCUUUGCAGCCUGGCGCAGCCACCGGAGGCGCCCUUCGUCUACUUCAAGCCGGCAGCAGGCUUCUUCGGCGCGGGCGGUGGCGGGCCGGAGCCGGGGGGCGCGGGGACGCCUCCGGGGCCAGCUGCAGCGCCACCCUCGCCGCCCCCCACGCUGCUGGACGAGGUGGAACUGCUGGAUCUGGAGAUCGUGGCCGCCUGGCGGGACGAGGACGACUACACCUGGUUAUACAUUGGCUCUUCAAAGACGUUCACCUCAUCAGAGAAAUCCCUGACUCCUUUGCAGUGGUGUAGACAUGUCCUAGAUAACCCAACUCCUGAGAUGGAAGCAGCGAGACGUUCCCUGUGCUUUAGACUGGAGCAAGCUAGCCGAUGGCGGAGUCUCUUCUCUUCAGCUGCCUCACUGGCUUUUCCUUAUAGUCCUGUUGCAAGACUCAGCCCUUAUAGCAAUGGCAUUAAUACUCCCAGCUUCUCUAAAACCUCAAAUAAAGCAAUACUAACACCUGAAAAAACAGGUUACACUUCCAGGGGCUCCCCUCUCAGUCCCCAGUCAUCUAUCGACAGUGAGCUGAGUACUUCAGAAUUGGAGGAUGAUUCUAUCUCCAUGGGAUAUAAAUUACAGGACCUCACUGAUGUUCAGAUCAUGGCUCGUCUGCAAGAAGAAAGUCUCAGGCAAGAUUAUGCUUCUACUUCAGCAUCUGUAUCAAGACAUAGUUCCAGUGUGUCAUUGAGUUCAGGAAAAAAAGGGACAUGUAGUGAUCAAGAAUAUGACCGAUACAGUCUGGAGGAUGAAGAGGAAUUUGAUCAUUUGCCACCACCUCAGCCUCGUCUUCCAAGAUGUUCCCCUUUCCAAAGAGGAAUUCCCCAUUCACAGACUUUCUCCAGCAUUCGGGAGUGUAGGAGGAGUCCCAGUUCCCAGUAUUUUCCUUCAAAUAAUUACCAGCAGCAACAGUAUUAUUCACCUCAAGCCCAAACUCCAGAUCAGCAACCAAAUAGGACCAAUGGAGAUAAGCUCCGAAGAAGUAUGCCUAACCUAGCCCGGAUGCCAAGUACAACUGCCAUUAGUAGCAACGUUAGUUCUCCAGUCACCGUGCGAAAUAGUCAGAGUUUUGACUCAAGCUUGCAUGGAGCUGGAAAUGGAAUUUCAAGAAUACAGUCUUGUAUUCCAUCACCGGGACAGCUUCAACACAGAGUCCACAGUGUGGGGCAUUUCCCAGUGUCUAUCCGACAACCUCUUAAAGCCACAGCCUAUGUGAGUCCAACCGUUCAAGGCAGCAGUAACAUGCCUUUAUCGAACGGCUUACAGCUGUAUUCCAACACAGGAAUCCCCACACCGAACAAAGCCGCAGCUUCUGGGAUAAUGGGUCGCAGUGCACUCCCAAGACCUUCGUUGGCAAUAAAUGGGAGUAACCUGCCUCGAAGCAAAAUUGCACAACCUGUUAGAAGGGGUGAGCUGCAAUUUUGGCAUUCCAUUGUAUAGAAGAGGAAGAACAAUUACAACCAUCACAGUAUUCACAAGGCAAGAACUAACCAGAGAUUCAAAAGCAGAAUAAUGUUGGGACCCCAGAGAAGUAUUCUUGGCUUUUCUCAGAAGGAGGACACUGUGUGAUGUGAGGAAUAAUAUCCUCUACAGCAUCUAUAUGGCCCCAGUGUGUGUUGUUCCCCUCUAUAUGUCCAUGUGUUCUCAUCAUGAAGUGGCACUUUAAAGAUGCUUCCAUUAAUUGACAAUUCUGAGUCCAUGAUGGUAGAACUUUUGAGAAACAAACUGACUGCCAAGGAAAAAUCUCCAUGCACCACAAACAGUUUUGGCUUUUUUUUUGAAGAGAUUGACAAUCAGGAGUUUGAAUCAGAGACAAGGUCUCAUUCCACCACCCAGACAGGAGUGCAGUGGUGGGAUCACAGUUCACUGUAACCUCAAUCUCCUGGCCUCAAAUAAGCCACCCAAGUAGCUGACACUAUAGGCAUUGGAAGCUCUCAGAAGAAUAACUACUUGCUCUCAUCUUGAUCCAUAGGAAUUGACCAGCUGACCAGCUGGCUAUGCACCCAAAUGUGUGUGGUGAGGUGCUUCACAGUAGGAACUGUUUCUGGCAGCUUUGGUGAAUCAAGAAAGGCAAUAUUCUUCUGGGGUGAGUCCUCAUUCAUUGGCUGUCUGGAGUGCGUGGACAAGAGCUUGACUGGUUGGCUGAUUCCUGUUCCCCCACUUACUAAAGAAUCAGUUCAACCACAUGUUUUCUCAUUGUCAAUUUUAUACAAAUAGACUUCCCUUGGCUAUUGUUGGUCUUUUGAAGAAGGAUCGAAUCUUGCUGAAGUUUCUUUCUUACAGACGUGGAAAAUGCUGGUGGCCAUAACACUCCAAACUAUUUUUCUGGAUCUUAAUUUGACCAGGGAGAGAGAAGGUCAUUUUUGUUUAAACAGGGAUUGCAUUUUACAGAAACAUUGCCUUGAGAGACACAACAUGCAUUACAACAUCAUGAUGUAUUCAGCCAGAUGUCUGCAAGACAGAAAAUCACGUGACUGAGCAAAGCAUGUGAAUGUUCUUAAAGGGGGAGAAAUCGAAAAGAAAAACCAAACGUGUCAGAUAUUUCCUUUUUGCAUCACACUAUUCCCAAUCAUAUGGAUGCCUUAUGUUUAUAACUUGCCAGUUAUGAAUUUCCCCUCAUGUCUAUUAAACUUAAGGAUCACUAUAAUUUUAAUCUUGUUAACAAACUUGCUGUUUGUCUAUACCUAUUUAGGAGAUUAGCACCCAGGGCUCAUUAGGUAUCUGUUAGGAUGGUUGUUAGGGCAUAGUGAGAAAUUAUUUUUUGGCACUCACAACAAAUGUAUAUGGAUAUACAUUUAGUUUCUUGGGAUCCUAGUCUAUGUAUUUGAAAAGUAUAUGUACUUGACGAUCCUGAGCAAAACUGGAAUCAUUUGAAUUAAUUCAUCUUUUUUUUCACAAUUGGCAAUCUCAUGCUCAGCAUGUUAAUACAUAUUCACUAAAUAAUCAUAGUGUAGACUGUAGUUUCUCAGUUGCACAGGAAUGGUUGGGUUCUUUCAGGGAUCCUUACUUGAAGAUAAGGAUCAGUGCACUGUUAAGAAAAGGGAGGAUAAUCCUGAGGUGUGGGAGGGGAUGGUCAUGGAUUUAGCUAUUUUUACUGUUUGCUCUAUUUACUCUGUUUCUAACAAUCCAGUCACUUCUUCAGUGGCACAGGCCUCUGGCAUUUGGUAGGCACCCAAUGCAUAAUUGCUGAUGAAAGAAUGAAUUCUAUUGCCAGGGCAUCCAUUUCAUUUUCUCUGCAGCCACACCAUCAGCAUGGCAACUGCACCGACAGCACAUUCUUUUCAUGAUUGUUUUAAAUUUCUUAUGCUAUUUUCCGUGAGGUAGUGGUCUAUAUAAUUUUUAGUCAUGCACUCCUAUCAAUUAAGUUUUGUGCAUGCAGUCUCUAAAUACAUAUUUUACAAACAAGAUAUUCUGUUGCUUUAUAAAAUAUAGUUAAUCAGUAGAAGAAUGAGAUUGUUAAUAACAAUUCUAAUAAUUAUUUCUCUAUUUUCAUGCACUGUCUUGCUAACCUUCCUUGCACACUCUAUUCUGGAGAACCUUGGCUGUUGAACAUAUAAAGGAAGAAGAAUGCAGUUCUCGCCUUGGGGAGCUUACAUCUUACCUGGUAUACCAGAUAAACACAGUGAAGGACAACACAAUGGUAAACAAGGUGUACAAUUCAAUAAUUUUUCAUAAAUUUAAAGAGUCGUCAAUAAUCACCAGGCCGGGCGCGGUGGCUCACGCCUGUAAUCCCAGCACUUUGGAAGGCCGAGAUGGGCGGAUCACGAGGUCCGGAAAUUGAGACCAUCCUGGCUAACACGUCUGUUGUCUCAGCAACGUUUCUGGAAAAUACUAUCCUUCCUCCCAUUGAGCUGCUUUGACAUCUUUGUUGAAAGUACUGCUAUCAGAAGAAUCAAGAUGAAUGAGUGUCCAGACCAUUGAAGGGAAAGAAGUCUGGCUGAUGAAAAUGAGCUCUGCACUGAUUCCAGGCCAUGUUUUGAGGUUUCCAUUGUUUUUGGCUCAGCCUAGAGAUUGGAUUAUUGCUCUUCAUACCACUGGAGGCCUGCAGCCCAACCUCUGACCCAAGCUAUCACAGAAAACAGGGAAACACAAACUGAAAAUUGUAACAAUGCUCUUCAAGCUCAACAGAGAGAUAGUCAGAAACGUAAUCACCACGGAGAGAUUACAGUUUUCUAGUCUACACUUUUGAAGGGAAAGAGACUGCAAAAAAAGAGAGAGAGAGAGAGAGAGAGAGAGUGAGAGAGCAUUAACCUUUAUCAGCUUUCAGCAUUUCAUGCUUUCAAUUUAGAACUGGAUGCUAUUGCUUCUGGAAGGCCACAGAAGAUGUGGGAAGAGCAUGCACUGUUGCUUCCAUUAUUCUGUAGUGAGAAGGAUGGCUUUGGCAAGACUCUAAAUGCUCUUCCUUUAAAAAUCUUAACCUCUGCCUCACUGAUCAGAAGGCUUUGUGGAGACCCAGCAAAGCCUGAUACUCUGUAACAGAAACCAUGCCCACUAUUGAUGCUCAUCUCUGUCAUCUUAAUGGCCUCUAGCAAGAAAGUCUUUAGGCAAGCUAGUGCUUGAAACUUAUCUAAAAUAUAAAGGUAUCCCUGGUGGGGAAAAACUAUGAAGUUUUGCCAAAAAAAAAUAAUUCACUCUCAACCAAGAUGCCAUCUUUAAAAGUUGGUGAGAGACUGUUCUUAUAGAUGGGUAUGAUUCUUAGACAUUCAUUUCUUCAUCAUUCUUUGGGAAAAAUAACAACAUCUAACAUCUAUAAUUUGAAGUCUAAGGAUACAGCUUUCCCCACUGAAGAGGAAAUGGAUUCACUUUAUUGCAAGAGGAAGCAACUCUAACUUUAAACCCAGCAAUAACACAUUCCUUAUUCCCUAUUUUUAGUUUUUCCUCUGGACUUUACCCCAUUAAAUUAGAUAACUUAAGGGCAAGGUCUGAACAGUGAAGACAAUUCAAACAUGUAAUCAAAAGUCAGUCUCUCUGAUCGCAAAAAGGGUGUUUAGAGUUCAAUAUUGACACUAUGUCCCUUCCACAUAAAUUAAAAUUUUAAAUCCUGUUUAAAAUUAAGUUGAAUAUAUGUUACCUAACAUUGAUCAAAUAUGAGCCAGUUGGCAAUACUCACAUAACUGGCACUAGUUUUCAUAUCAUGAUGUCUCAUCUAACUGAAUAGCUGUUGUUAGUGUUAAGUCCUGCUGGCAAUAUGGUGUCCAUUUGACAAAAUGAUAGCCUAUGUUUGUGCUGACCCAUUUUACCCUAGGGCUUAUACUGCUUCUCUAGAACAUUUCUUUUGGAUGAUAAACACAAAUAAAUAAACACUAGAUUGAAAAAAGGUGUGACCAUACUGGCUAAAAGAUUUCUACUCAAGAAAGACUGUGAUUUUAUAACUUUACAUUGGAACAGCUGCUUGAGAAAGAAACAAGGCAAGAGAAUCCAAAUAAAUUAUUCUAUUACAUUAUAAAGUCAUUUUUAUAUUAUAGUUUAAAAAUUUUCUAAAAAGAUAAAUAGCAUGAAUAAGAAAUAUAUAUUCGUUAUUUAUUUGAGGGUUUUGUGAAGUGAAUCCUACAAAAUCUCUCCAACUGGGGGAUUUACAUUUUUCAUUUCUCUUUUUAAUUAAAAAUCGCACCCUUGAGAUAAUAAAUGAAGAAAAAAAAUCCUGUUAACACACACCCCUGUUAAUGCCAGAAGGAGUCAAGCCCCAUAAAGUCAGGAAAUGCCAAAGUUAACCGUCUUGCACAAGCAAAUGUUCACUCACCUCAUUAAACAUACAUAGCAUUUUCUUUUUCUAUUUUAUUAAAUUACAAGUAUACACUGAGCUUUAACUGUUUAUUUGUUUCAGAAUAUUCUACAACAUUUAUAAUGCCUAGUACAGUGAUUGGCACACAGUGGUUACUCAUUCAAUGCUUGUUAAGUAACAAUGAAUGGAUGAGUGGAUGAAUGAAUUUGGUCAUACGGCAGAAAUCAUCUAUGACAAAACAUUUGUCGUGAGCUUUUCAGCUCUCAUAUUCUACAUGUAGUCUUUAGAGAAUUGACAUGACUGUAUAUUUACUAUUUAUAUUUUCUAGUACUGAUGAUCAGGUCUUGGCACAUAGAGUCAGAAACUCCAGAAUUGAGACUUGAGAGUGGGCUGGACUCUUGUUGGAGUUCCGCUCUUCCAUGCAGGCCGGAAAAGGUAACGACAAAAAUUCCUCUCCCACCCUCUCUCUCCUACUCAAACUUGUCAAGGCAAUGACUGAUAUACAACAGAACCUACUGUUUCUCACUAUGUAAUGGGAUUCUAUGAAGAGCUUCAGUUGUGGAGAGGAUUGUUAAGUUUCGUGGAAGUAGAUGCAGUAAACAUAGGGGCAUUGUAAGAGAUGAUUGUUUUAGAGGAUUGGUGAGUGGUGUAAUUAAGAGGACAACCAAAAUUACUUUGCCAGACUGCAGUAUAUUCCAUCCUGUGGUAAGUUGUGAACGUUUCUUUAAACGACUGGCAUUAUAUAAAUGUUUUCACAGUAAGAGUCAAAAAAGGAAAAUAAUGAAUGGCUGCAUUUCACAACUUUAGGAAAGGGUGUAUUCUGUUUUUGUCUCUGUUUCCUGUAGUAGUUAAGAGUUUUUCUGUGUUUGAACUAGAGUUUUAAUGAGAUAGGGCACCUUCAUUCAAGGACUUCCAUGCCAGAACUCUUUCUGUAUUGAUACACAGAGAAAUAGUUCAAAAUAAGCUUUGAAUUUGGAGUCAAUAUGCUGAUCAAGUGCAUGGAAAUUUCUUUUCUUGACAUACGGCGCACCUGUGCCCUGAAGGACAAAUAUAAAUUACAAGUUCUGCCCUGCAUCCAUCAAAACGCACUUAAUCACUUAAAGAUUAGGCUAUGUGAGUUAGAAAUACGUGGGUCAGAAAUAAUGUUAGCUUAUCCCCCGGGGUGCCAUCUCAAUAGAUUACAAUAUGUACAGUGCCCCCUAGAGUUGUGCAAGGCAGCAGUUCUGUCCAUGGGAAUCUAUUUCACACACAUGCACAAAACAGAGGCCUUUUCACAGCUCUGGAAAGAUUCCUAUAACUUGCUGAAAUAGAACAAUGGCUUAUGAAAAUGAAUUAAAGUUCUUGAAACAAAAUCUCUAAGAGAAAGAAAGAGAUAGAAAACAAUUUUUAAAAAUAUUUCUUAAGAGAAAUUGAAGUUUACCUCAAAUAUAUUUUCCUACCAGAAAUUUGUUUCUAAGUCUGUAACAGGCCGGGAAAGAAAUUGAUUGUACUCUUUUAUUAUCUAAUUUAAAAAUAUAUCCAUAGUUUGAGCUUUAAAACCUUCACCGACAUAUUACACAUUUUCAAAAGAUCCAACAAAGAGAAAUAAGAAACCCCAUUCACAAACCUGGCCUAUUAUUAGUUCACUUAUCUGAGCUGGAUCUUCUAAGAUCACUGGUGACAUCUGAAGACAUUGAAGAAUGAGAACCUGAGGGCCUCCUGGCUCAGAACGAGACUUGCAAACUACAUGAAUUCAACAAACCUUAUUAAGUAACUUCGUGCAAUACCUAAGCCUAAUUCUAUCUAUGGAAUAUCUUAUGGGAGACUAAUAAGCUGCGAUCAGAAAAUGUCUGAUUACUAUGGAAUCUGAAAGCCCAUUAAAAUAGUCUGAAAACACUGAGUGAGUGGGAAGAAGACAGCGUACAGUGUAAACAUUCUGAGGAUAAUUUUCCUCCUUUCUGGAAACUACAAUGAAACUGAAGAAGAGAGAAGUAGGAAAAAGACAGAGAUCAGCAGGCAUGAGUGUAGUUUUGAGCCUCAAAAGGGGAGACUUGCUUGAGAAAUGCUUCCAUCAAUUUUGCUAAUCAAUUUCUGAUUCAAGAAUGAUCCUCUUCUAUCUUCUCCCUUCACCCCUUCUCCUCUCUCUCUCCCUCUCUCCCAUCCACCACCACAUUUUGGCCAUUUUCUUGUUCCUUUACAUUUUCACCAGAGGCCCUGUAGGGAAGGAUAAAUAACUGUCUAAAAUAAAAGCAUUGGAAAUAAUAAAAAGUCUAAAAUUAGAGAAGUCGUUGGCUAAGGUAUACCCACACACCACAUUCAGCUAUCUCCCAAACAUAACCAACCUCUUUUUAACUAUGCAAAGUCCUGAAAGAGAAUGUUUCACAUCAUAAAUUACAUCUUGAAUCUUAUUUCAGCUCAGGCUUUAUCUGUCAACACCCUUUAAAGAACUUAAUCAUUUAUUAGCAUUUGGCAUGUUUCUCUAAAAAUAAUCAACUAUGGCAUAUUAGCUACACAGAGAUACCCUUAUAUGGUUUUCUUUGUGAAUUGAAGAACAUGGCUCCCUGGCCUGGAGACAACAGGGUCUUGGCUACGUUACCCUUUUGUACAACUAUGGAAAUAUCUUCAAUCUUGAAAGACUCAUUUUAAAUGAGCAAAUUGAGAAAUGUAAAGCUUUUGAUAGAUAAGACUUACCAUAUUGAAAGAAAACCUUACCUUGACAUUCGUAGAGGCUUGGAUUUAUGGAGUGACCAAGUGGCAGAUCAAAGGCAAACACAAGAAAUACCAUCGAGUUGAACCUAGGGAACCUUUCAUUGCCCAGGGCCAAGUGCCUACUGACCAUUUUGUCACAGAAAUCUAUGACCAACAUGUGAAAUAGUGAAUUGGGAAUAUGAAGUCUUGAGUUUCUGGUUUAUUUGAAUUCUGCUAUCCACCUGUUAUCUGACUAUGACCAAUACAUUAAUACAGAAGGAAUCAAGCUUUCUUUUUCUUUUUCAUUUGGACAUUGGUAAAAAUAUGAGUGGAAGAAGCCCACUGCUCUUAUGUCUUAUGUAUAACAUCGUUUGUCUGCAAGCAUUUGUGUAGUAUUGACAGUCGCAGCCACUAUGCUAGAUGGGUGUCGGGGUAUUUGUUUUAUUUGUUAACUGAUUCCAGGUCAUUCAAGCUAAAAGCCUGGCUCUUUAUUAACACGUUUUAAAAGUUAAUACUUUAAAUGUGCUUAGUUGGUGCUCCUUAAAAAUUAUUUUGCUUUACAUAAGUAAUACAGGUUCCACUUUUGGUUCAGAAUGCUUAUGCUGGUAAAAUAUCUUUAAAUAUUACUAAAAUAUUUCAGUUACUUGACUGGAAAUGAGAACAUUGUUAUUAAAUUAGGAUAAAUUAGACUCCUCUCCCAGUGAUACCCUUACUUCUUGUGUUGCUAUAUAUGCAUAUGCUUCAGUUUACUGAUUGGAAUAUAUGAAUAUACUUCAGUUUACUGAUUCAAAAAUUAUAAUUCCAAAAGUUGGUGGUGUUCCAUCAACUUUUACUUUUAACUACAAAACUAGUUAAUUAUACAUAAACUUGUUAAGUACCAGAAGUAGUCUAAGAUAGGAUAGUGCAAAAGGUAAAUUUGUUCAGAAAGAUAAUCCUGAUUGUGUCACAAGCAGAAAAUAUCUGAUUACCUGCCAAGGUCACUUCACUCGAAACUCAUUUGUGGGUUCAGUGAAGCAAUUCCGCAUUUUGACAUACCAGCAUUUUAAUGUUAUAUGUACCCACCCUUAACUAGUUAAAUGUUAAAGAUCAGCAGUUUUGCCUUUCAGAACUAUGAAUGCAGCCUCUUUGCCUCUAAUAGUAGCCUACAGUUCUUAACUGUAAAACCAUCUAAAGCACUCCAGUGGGUCACCAGCCUAAUUUUUAGCUCUCUAUCACCACUGGACACCUGAUUACCUUUGGAUCCUUACCAAACUAGUUAAUGUGGAUAUUGGUAUUUGUCUUAUCAGUUUGCAAGCAGAUUUAUUUUUAAAUGCAAUUUCUUUACACAUAAAGGAAGCUAUAUUUGAGAGCUAACUUCAUUAACACAGUUAUCCAUGUAAAUAUAACACAAAGAGAGUUAAUAAAAUUCAGAAGUAA